rnacentral:rRNA from 1 species
GAUUAACGCUAGCGGCAGGCAUAAUACAUGCAAGUUGAACGGCAGCACAGGUAGCAAUACUGGGUGGCGAGUGGCGCACGGGUGCGUAACACGUAUGCAACCUACCCUAUACAGGCGAAUAACCUUUAGAAAUGAGGGCUAAUACGCCGUAGUAUUACAGAUGGGCAUCUAUUUGUAAUUAAAGAUUUAUCGGUAUAGGAUGGGCAUGCGUCCCAUUAGUUAGUUGGUAAGGUAACGGCUUACCAAGACGAUGAUGGGUAGGGGAUCUGAGAGGACUUACCCCCACACGGGUACUGGGACACGGACCAGACUCCUACGGGAGGCAGCAGUAAGGAAUAGUGGGCAAUGGCCGCGAGGCUGACCCAGCCAUGCCGCGUGCAGGAAGACGGCCUUAUGGGUGGUAAACUGCUUUUAUACGGGAAUAAUAGAGUGUACGCGUACAUUUAUGCAAGUAUCGUAUGAAUAAGCAUCGGCUAACUCCGUG